UACAGAGGUCUCAAGCGUUGUUCGGAUUCAUUGGGCGUAAAGGGUGCGUAGGCGGCGCGGUAAGUCGGGUGUGAAAUCUCGGAGCUUAACUCCGAAACUGCAUUCGAUACUGCCGUGCUUGAGGACUGGAGAGGAGACUGGAAUUUACGGUGUAGCGGUGAAAAUGCGUAGAUAUCAGGAGGAACACCGGUGGCGAAGGCGGGUCUCUGGGCCGAUACUGACGCUGAGGAGCGAAAAGCGUGGGGGAGCGAACAGG
rnacentral:rRNA from 1 species